rnacentral:lncRNA from 1 species
GUCCUGGUCUUUCUCUUACAUAGUGCCAGCGAACGUAGAAUGGGUCCCACUGGUCUUACAUUCCGUACCGUACAUAUCACAUCGUCACAUCAUAGAUCGAGGGCUAUGGAUCAUCCAACAUUCAUCCACAACAACAACAGUAGAGUAUGCAAUGCAACAUAUUCGUGAAUUCUAAUGCAACAACCUAGUAUAUCUCAUGGCAUUAAUGAUGCGUGAAUCAUGCUAAAAUGUCCAUUUAUUUGCUUUAAAAAUGUAAUGAGUUAU